CCUACGGGCGGCAGCAGUGAGGAAUAUUGGUCAAUGGCCGCAGGGCUGAACCAGCCAAGUCGCGUGAGGGAUGACGGUCCUAUGGAUUGUAAACCUCUUUUGUCAGGGAGCAAAGGGCGCCACGUGUGGCGUUUUGCGAGUACCUGAAGAAAAAGCAUCGGCUAACUCCGUGCCAGCAGCCGCGGUAAUACGGAGGAUGCGAGCGUUAUCCGGAAUGACUGGGCGUAAAGGGUGCGUAGGUGGUUUGGCAAGUUAGUAGCGUAACUCCAAGGCUCAACCUUGGAACUACUACUAAAACUGUUGGACUUGAGUGCAGGAGGGGCAACCAGAAUUCCUAGUGUAGCGGUGGAAUGCGUAGAUAUUAGGAGGAACACCAGUGGCGAAGGCGGGUUGCUAGACUGUAACUGACACUGAGGCACGAAAGCGUGGGGAGCAAACAGGAUUAGAUACCCUAGUAGUC
rnacentral:rRNA from 1 species